AUGGAAAAUUAUAAAAGAACCUCAAAGUGGCAUCCGAUUACAGUGAAUUGAUUCUUGGGAAAUUAGUUCUCCAUAGUCAUUCUUUGCAAGCUCUCAAAUCCGUACAUGAACUGUGAUUUUUCCUCCUCCAUUCUUAAUGGUGUAUGGCUGCUAGACCUAGGGGAAAACAAAGACCCGUUUUACAACUCAACUGGGUCGACCCAGCCCACUACAAAUGACCCAACAA
rnacentral:lncRNA from 1 species